CUUAAUUUGGAAAGAAUAAUUAUAGAAAAGUUGGUGGAAUAAACAGAAAAAACACUGUUACAUCAGUGAAUGAUUUCGUUAUUAAAAAAAAUCAUUACUCGAACUUGCUAAAAAAAUAAUAAAAACUUUACUCAAAUGAGCAAUUCAUAAAACUAUUACAUGUCUAAAAAUCGUUUUAACAUUCAACAAUCCUAGAACAUAUCUACUUUCAUUUGAUGAACAAAUAGUAGAACAAGAAAGAAAGAAUAAUCCUAAUCAACUGAAACACUUUGAUACAGUCCUUGUGCAACAAAGCUGGAAGAUAUAAAGUGUGAGAGACUGAAUCAGUGGUGCCGCAGUGGGUCCCUGCCGAGCGUUUAGCAGACAUACACUAGCGAUUGAUCAACGAUGGUUGGAGACAGUAUGCACCAGCCGUUCCUACAAAACAGAUAUACAACCUCAAAAUGCAACAUUGAUUCAGAUGCAUAAAAACUGUGAAAGAGUAGUGUGUCCAAGUUUUACAUAAUCAUUCAAUUAUCGAGCAUCUAAUUGAAUAAGGUCGUGAGGUCGUGACACGAAGAAAAGGAUGCGUUUCCAGGAAACUUAUAUUCAUAUAUUUCAACAAUAGAGAGUGUGAGGAACGUGCUUUACUGCAGUUGAAAAGUAUGCUAAUCAUAGGUUUGUUAUAGGUCAUAUUAGAGAAAAUGCAUGUCAGAGCAGCAACUACCUACAAUAUACGUUCCUAAAUACGAUUUACAGAUCUAUGGUAUUACAAAUGUACAAAUUUGUACACAAGUGAAUGUAAAAGUUGACGCCGGUUACAAGAGGAAAGUGUAACACAUGCUAUAAAUAAACUGUCGUCAAUAUCGAGGAUAAAUUUACUUACACAUCG